rnacentral:rRNA from 1 species
AUUGAACGCUGGCGGCAGGCUUAACACAUGCAAGUCGAGCGGAAACGAUGAUAGCUUGCUAUCAGGCGUCGAGCGGCGGACGGGUGAGUAACGCGUAGGAACCUACCUAGUAGUUUGGGAUAGCCCAGAGAAAUUUGGAUUAAUACCGGAUACGCCCUAUGGGGGAAAGCAGGGGAUCUUCGGACCUUGCGCUAUUAGAUGGGCCUGCGUGAGAUUAGCUAGUUGGUGAGGUAAAGGCUCACCAAGGCGACGAUCUCUAGCUGGUCUGAGAGGAUGAUCAGCCACACUGGGACUGAGACACGGCCCAGACUCCUACGGGAGGCAGCAGUGGGGAAUAUUGCACAAUGGGCGCAAGCCUGAUGCAGCCAUGCCGCGUGUGUGAAGAAGGCUCUAGGGUUGUAAAGCACUUUCAGUUGGGAGGAAAGCUUGAUGAUUAAUACUCAUCAAGUGUGACGUUACCACAGAA